UACAGAGGUCUCAAGCGUUGUUCGGAUUCAUUGGGCGUAAAGGGUGCGUAGGUGGCGCGGUAAGUCGGGUGUGAAAUCUCGGAGCUUAACUCCGAAAUUGCAUUCGAUACUGCCGUGCUCGAGGACUGGAGAGGAGACUGGAAUUCAUGGUGUAGCAGUGAAAUGCGUAGAGAUCAUGAGGAAGACCAGUGGCGAAGGCGGGUCUCUGGACAGUUCCUGACACUGAGGCACGAAGGCCAGGGGAGCAAAACGGGG
rnacentral:rRNA from 1 species